GAGCUGAACCAGAAACUUUCUGUUUGGCCUCUGUGGAAAAGCUCAGGACAAGACAACUUUCUCCUCACCAUGGUGGCUGAGUUCUGGAGGCUGUAAUUUCGUGGAUUUCUGUGGAGCUGGCAGAGCUCAUGCCUGCAGGGCUCUGAGAGGAGGAAGCCUGGGGCAGGACCUGCGCCAGUGGCUGCUGGGCACAGCAUGGAGCACCCCAGCAAGAUGGAAUUCUUCCAGAAGCUGGGCUACGACCGGGAGGAUGUGCUCCGGGUGCUGGGCAAGCUGGGCGAGGGCGCCCUGGUCAACGACGUGCUGCAGGAGCUUAUCCGCACGGGCAGCCGCCCGGGGGCCCUGGAGCACCCGGCUGCACCCAGGCUAGUGCCUCGGGGCUCCUGUGGGGUCCUGGACUCUGCCCAGCAUGGCCCGGGGACAGCCCUGGAAGAGGACUUCGGAACCCUGGCCAGUUCUCUGCGACCCAUAGUGAUUGAUGGCAGCAACGUGGCGAUGAGCCAUGGAAAUAAAGAAACCUUCUCUUGCCGGGGAAUCAAGCUGGCUGUUGACUGGUUCAGGGACAGAGGACACACCUACAUCAAAGUUUUUGUUCCAUCCUGGAGGAAGGACCCACCAAGAGCUGACACCCCUAUCAGAGGUAUGCUGGAGCAGAUGUAUGCUCAAGAGGUACUAGACACGUUUCCUUGGUGCACUUCUAACAUCGAUAGUCAAAUAUCUACUUAGUUGUUUGUUUAAUGAUAUUUGUCUUCCUCACUGUGCUAUAAGCUCCAUGAAGGCACUGAUUAUGACUGUUCAAUGCC
rnacentral:sRNA from 1 species